ACACUCCUGCGGGAGGCAGCAGUGGGGAAUAUUGCACAAUGGGCGCAAGCCUGAUGCAGCUAUGCCGCGUGUAUGAAGAAGGCCUUCGGGUUGUAAAGUACUUUCAGCGGGGAGGAAGGCGAUAAGGUUAAUAACCUUGUCGAUUGACGUUACCCGCAGAAGCAGCACCGGCUAACUCCGUGCCAGCAGCCGCGGUAAUACGGAGGGUGCAAGCGUUAAUCGGAAUUACUGGGCGUAAAGCGCACGCAGGCGGUCUGUCAAGUCGGAUGUGAAAUCCCCAGGCUCAACCUGGGAACUGCAUUCGAAACUGGCAGGCUAGAGUCUUGUAGAGGGGGGUAGAAUUCCAGGUGUAGCGGUGAAAUGCGUAGAGAUCUGGAGGAAUACCGGUGGCGAAGGCGGCCCCCUGGACAAAGACUGACGCUCAGGUGCGAAAGCGUGGGGAGCAAACAGGAUUAGAAACCCCAGUAGUCCC
rnacentral:rRNA from 1 species